GCAAAACAUGAAAGAGAGAUCGUUACGAGAAUAAUUUCAAAGAGAUUAGCCUAACUUGUGUAUGGAAACCAAACUUGGACCACAUGUUGGUUGUUACAGCUUUGAAAAAGAAGUCAGAUUGGUCACCGCUAAGCCAGGUGCCCCCUGGAGCUGGGGUGCUGGCACCUCAUCCAUGCCUGUCACCCACACUGCCACGGGAGUUACCUAGACACCACUGACUGCCUUGGCCAGCAGUCUGCAGUCUCUCUCUGUAGCUCCCUCAGGACUCGAUGGCAUUGCCAUCCAGUCGUGGUGAUUUAUACGCGGCUGAUCAGAGUUAUCGGAAUGUGAUCUAGCUUCUCUAAUGUGGCACAUAUGCAGCAGAAAUGCUAAGUCACAGCCUGAACCAGUGAUUGAGCACCUGGUGGGAAGGCAGGGCCAGCCCAGGGGAUCUCAGGUGCAUGCCAUGGCUGGAGCCAGGAUCCACCCCUUCCCAGAUCUCAUUUAAGGGUUGGUAGUGGAGGCAAGGGUAUCUUGGUGGAAAUCUCUGCAUACCUGAGGUCUUCUAAAGAAGGUCGAUGAGAAUCCUGCAGAGCAUCAAGGCUCCUCAGUCAGGUUGUAGGAAAACAUCCCUGAGAAUGUCUCUGCACUGGAAGUCUACGGGCAGUCACAGAAGAGCAGCACAUUGAGUUACUGUGGUUCUGCUGUAAUAAGGAUUGUUUGCUGGUGUUGCAGACGUACUUCACCCCUCAUGCUCACGUUGAGAUCUGCUCUAGAGGUUGGGACUGAAACCAUGCCAAGGAAUUUCAACUACUGAUUUUAGUCAUAUUGUAAGAUGUUGCUGUUCUCUUUUCAAAUUGAUGUACCCUAAUAUUUCCUCUCUGCAGAAUGGAUCGUUGCCUGAAUUCAACUUUAAAUAGAAGUUUUUGACAAUCUUUGAGAGAUACUGUGCUUCCCACCAGUUUUCUCUUAAUAUAUAUUGUCCUUGACAGGAAAAAGAUAAUUAAAUUAUUCAUAGAAUUAUGACAGAAAUCGUUUGAGUAUUCUGUGCACAAAAGAAAUGGAAUCUGUGUCACUUGAGUUCAUGUUUGUUUAGUUAGACAGGAAACGAUCAAGAAAUGAAAUCAUAAAGACUUAUUCCCCUGUGACUUUUCAUAACAGUCUGUUUACCUAAACUGCUAAAUAAGUAACCUAUUUUUAUGUAUUCAUAAGAACAGGAAGAUGAUUUCAGAGGAUCUUCUGUGUUUUCUUGUCGCUUCAUUAUUAUGAAAGUCUCUUGGGUUUUGUGUGAUGGAGCAGGCCAAAGCCCCAGCACAACUGCUCUUCUCUGUGUAGACAGGAUAAACGCUACAGAUGGCAUUUUCUUGGGAACACGCUGUCCGAGAAGGGGUAGAGAAUGAGUCAUAAAUUAAUUGGACUUCACAUUUAGUAUGUCAAAUGCCUAUGUAGAGUUAUUACACCAGAUUGUUUUUCCAUAUGAAAGACAAGCUAUAUAAAAUCCCCAACGUAGAAGAAAAAGGAAACCCAUGACGCUAGCUGCCAGUAUGGAUGCUGCAUGCCAGAACCAAGUGCAUGUGUCUCAUUGCAGAGAGACUGUCUUCUCAACGGCCAUAGCUCCUGGAGCUGGUGCUGCCGGGUGGGUACGCCCUCCCACCAGGCUUCAGAGUGAGCUCUGUGCUGAGCGCAUUGCUGCAAAGCCAAGAGAACAUCUCAAUCCUGAGGUGAGGUGGUAUUCGCCAUCUCAGCUGUACCAAACUCUGUUUGUGCAGCACGUCGUAAUUCUAGCCUUCAGUCCAGCUGAUCUGCUUUAAUAUGUUUUCAAGUGUUGUAAAUUUAAGAUUACAUAAUUCCUCUUAGUGUUAAAUUAGACGUGGCAAAUACAGUUUUAUGUUUGUGAUGCAUAGGCCAGCUUUGAUUACUGGUAGCUCUUUAUUUCUGCUGUGAUCUGGAUCAUAAUUAUACAUAAUGAGCUCACCCUGUAAAAACAUUAAAAAAAAAAAAAAAUCUGCGAAGAACGGGUAGAGGAGGUUCACAUUUAUGAGCUCU